AUGUAGUCUUUCGCAAAGGCUUCUGGGAAAUUUCGAGUGCACUCAAUUUUGGAAUAAGUAAAUUUGGACAGAACUAGAAAAUGGCAAAUAUAUAGUGCGCUAUAAAGUGAUUGGGGGGGAAUUCUGACUCAACCAUAUGGUCAGCACUAGAAAAUGGCGAAUAUAUAGUGCACUAUAUAGUGAGUAGUGAAGUAAUUCGGACAUAGUCUGUAUGUAAGUACUUGUGACUUUGCAUUUAGGGCUUCCUUAUUCCAAUCACUACCCAAUUAAUGAACACAAGUUACUAUAACUCAAAGGUAAACUUCCUGCAAUAAAGCACUGUCAUCAACCUUUCAGCUGCUGUUGAAGAGGAGAAGAAGGAGGCGGGGCAGAUUAGAGGGACCUGCCCAAAGCAAACAGCUGACUGUGAUGAUCAUGUGAGGACCAAACUUUCUGAGAAAACACUUCCUGGCGACACGCUUCUGAGGCUGGAUCUAGGUAGACGUCAUGAAAUGGGCGGCACCCACAAGGAGCAAAAGGCGGAGCCUAAGAGAUCGACUCGUCUUACUUCCAGGAGCCAGCUCAGCCACAUGAACAUUGCCUCAGUGCCCAUCCAGACCAGCAGUGGGAUCCACUUCAUGCCUGUAAUGAAUGUACAACUCCAUCAGGGGCAACAACUGUGGCGACGACCCCAGACCAAACCGGCAAGCCCUGGCACAAAGGAUCCCCACAAAUCACAGUAAAAUGUUAAAGUCAAAUAUAACAACAUUAAAUGCAUAAACUACAAUUAAAUACUGAAAAUGAAAUGUAAUAAAACUAAUAAAGUCAA